rnacentral:misc_RNA from 1 species
CGCUCGUCCCCCGCGAGCAGCGAUUCAUGUUCGAAGGCGACGAGCUCUGCGGCCCCGACAUAUGGAACACAACAUGGUACCCUAAGGCUGCAGAUCAUGUAACUACUGAGAAGACAUGGUAUGUUGUUGAUGCAACAGACAAGAUUCUAGGUAGGCUUGCAUCCACCAUUGCAGUACACAUCAGAGGAAAGAAUGAGGCCACAUACACUCCAAGUGUGGACAUGGGGGCUUUUGUUGUUGUGGUUAAUGCAGAGAAGGUUGCUGUUUCUGGCAAAAAGCGGUCACAGAAGCUCUACAGGAGGCACUCUGGACGGCCUGGUGGAAUGAAAGAAGAAACUUUUGAUCAGCUUCAGAAAAGGAUUCCGGAGAGAAUUAUUGAACAUGCAGUGCGUGGCAUGCUUCCUAAGGGCAGACUGGGAAGAAGACUGUUUACCCACCUCAAGGUGUACAAGG